rnacentral:rRNA from 1 species
AGCGAACGCUGGCGGCAGGCUUAACACAUGCAAGUCGAGCGCCUGUAGCAAUACAGGAGCGGCAGACGGGAGAGUAACACGUGGGAAUAUGCCCUUCGGUUCGGAAUAACUCAGGGAAACUUGAGCUAAUACCGGAUACGCCCUUACGGGGAAAGAUUUAUUGCCGAAGGGUUAGCCCGCGUCCGAUUAGCUAGUUGGUGAGGUAACGGCUCACCAAGGCGACGAUCGGUAGCUGGUCUGAGAGGAUGAUCAGCCUCAUUGGGACUGAGACACGGCCCAAACGCCUACGGGAGGCAGCAGUGGGGAAUAUUGGACAAUGGGCGCAAGCCUGAUCCAGCCAUGCCGCGUGGGUGAUGAAGGCCCUAGGGUUGUAAAGCCCUUUCGGCGGGGAAGAUAAUGACGGUACCCGCAGAAGAAGCCCCGGCUAACUUCGUGCCAGCCGCCGCGGUAA